GACGAACGCUGGCGGCGUGCUUAACACAUGCAAGUCGAACGGAAAGGCCCUGCUUUUGUGGGGUGCUCGAGUGGCGAACGGGUGAGUAACACGCGAGUAACCUGCCCUUGACUUUGGGAUAACUUCAGGAAACUGGGGCUAAUACCGGAUAGGAGCUCCUGCUGCAUGGUGGGGGUUGGAAAGUUUCGGCGGUUGGGGAUGGACUCGCGGCUUAUCAGCUUGUUGGUGGGGUAGUGGCUUACCAAGGCUUUGACGGGUAGCCGGCCUGAGAGGGUGACCGGCCACAUUGGGACUGAGAUACGGCCCAGACUCCUACGGGAGGCAGCAGUGGGGAAUAUUGCACAAUGGGCGGAAGCCUGAUGCAGCAACGCCGCGUGCGGGAUGACGGCCUUCGGGUUGUAAACCGCUGUCGCCUGUGACGAAGCGUGAGUGACGGUAAUGGGUAAAGAAGCACCGGCUAACUACGUG
rnacentral:rRNA from 1 species